rnacentral:lncRNA from 1 species
UCCUACCAGGUUUCCAAGCCCGCUGAAUCACCCGGCUUUCUGAGGAGAGAGGGCCCCGCGUGGCAGAGGGUCUGGUUUUCCCAGCUGACCGGCCCACGUGCGUUGGGCUGACCUGAUUUGAGACUCGGGGGCCUCACUCGCAGGAAGUGCACUUGGUUUUCCCAGAAAGAAAAAGUCCCAUGGCCAAGGUCACCUGUCUCUUUCUGAUGGUGUUUGUCAGCUUCAAACACAGUGACUCAUAGUCACAGGUCGAAAUAAACCUACUCGCUAUCAUUUGUUUGAAAUGAGUUCCCACCACCUGGGAAGGUUGGCUGCCUCUGCUUUGCAAGCCCCUCAGGUCUGCUGAUGUUCCAGGAGGUUCCUAAGCUCCCAGUCCUACCAGUCAAGGGAAAAGGUCAUCACUCAACUGAAUGUACUUGAGAGAUGCAAUUGAAAUGAAUCCCUGAUCUUUCAGAGAAAAGAGAACGAGGGUCUCAUGGUCCAGCAGCUUCUGCAGACAGAAAGCCAUCGAGCACUUAUCAGCCCAAUCCUGGAAUCUGAGGUUCUUUCACCAGACAAGGAACUAAGCUGAGCGUGGACUUGGGUGAGAAGAUCAAGUGACAUUGAUGAGAAAGGAACGUCCUUUCCCUGCUUUUUCCCUGGAAGAAAAGCACUUUCUCCUACCUUGG